UACGAAGGGGGCUAGCGUUGUUCGGAUUUACUGGGCGUAAAGCGCACGUAGGCGGUUUGUUAAGUGAGAGGUGAAAUCCCAGAGCUCAACUCUGGAACUGCCUUUCAUACUGGCAAGCUAGAGUCCGGAAGAGGUAAGUGGAACUCCUAGUGUAGAGGUGGAAUUCGUAGAUAUUAGGAAGAACACCAGGUGGCGAAGGCGGCUUACUGGUCCGGAACUGACGCUGAGGUGCGAAAGCGUGGGGAGCAAACAGG
rnacentral:rRNA from 1 species